rnacentral:lncRNA from 1 species
UACUAACUAAUAGUUUGGCCAAAAAAGAAAAAAAUUGCUUUAUUCGUCAAUAACCAACAGUAAGAAAUAAAAUAUUUAAAUUACCUCUCCAUUUCUUAAAUAUCUUUUUACGAUCGAAAUCAUUUCGGCUUUUGAAAUAUUUACAUUUUUUGCCAGAAAGAGAAAUUGAAAUAUUUACAAGUUGUCGCCUCAUUAGACGAGUCAUCUCCAGUAUCCUCCAUUUCUUCAGAAUCUUCUUCUACGUCUUCCUCGUAAUCGGAUUCAUCUUUCAAUUUUCCUUCAUCAACCUUAUUAUCAGAAGUGUCUUCCUUUUCUAUAGUAUUUUGAUCUCUAGUUUCUUCAAUCCUCUAGUUGAUCUGCAUUUAACAAUCCAGACUCGGUAGAUUUAGCUUUCACAACAUGCUCAUUAAUCUUCAAGCGUUUAGUAGAUGAUUUCCUCUCCCUUUCUUUCUCUUUUUUCCUCCCCGUAGCCCAUUAUGUUGAUUUCUUUUCAUUACCAAUUUAUGUGCAGUUUCCACAAGUAAGAGAUGGCAAAAAAGCGAGUAGGUGAUCGGGCGACGGACGAGCGACGUGUGCUAUGGCAAAGGUAGAGACCUGCUGCCAUUAGUUGAGUGAUGUUUGGUAGCAGCAAGAGGCGACAAACGACAUGGCUGGUGAGGGGUAUGGCUGACGGUAAAGAGAGAGGUAUGAUAGUUCUGAUUAUGAUUUUGUGAGAGGGAAGAAGGAAAUGGGGUAUUUUGUAAUGGGCUUUGAGAAACUAAGUUAAAUUCGAGCCUUUCCUCCGGAAAUAAAGAGGAAUAGGAGGAGAGAGGUGAUGGUUGAAUGGGAGUUGUAGGAAUUUGAAAGCGAUUUGUGCAACGGUGC